rnacentral:rRNA from 1 species
GAUCAUGGCUCAGGAUGAACGCUAGCGGCAGGCUUAACACAUGCAAGUCGAGGGGUAUUGGUUUUCGGACCAAGAGACCGGCGCACGGGUGCGUAACGCGUAUGCAAUCUACCUUUUGCAGAGGGAUAGCCCAGAGAAAUUUGGAUUAAUACCUCAUAGUAUAGUACUUUGGCAUCAAGGAACUAUUAAAGUCACAACGGCAAAAGAUGAGCAUGCGUCCCAUUAGCUAGUUGGUAAGGUAACGGCUUACCAAGGCUACGAUGGGUAGGGGGUUCUGAGAGGGAGAUCCCCCACACUGGUACUGAGACACGGACCAGACUCCUACGGGAGGCAGCAGUGAGGAAUAUUGGACAAUGGGCGCAAGCCUGAUCCAGCCAUGCCGCGUGCAGGAUGACGGUCCUAUGGAUUGUAAACUGCUUUUAUACAGGAAGAAACACUCCGACGUGUCGGAGCUUGACGGUACUGUAAGAAUAAGGAUCGGCUAACUCCGUG